rnacentral:rRNA from 1 species
GCACGUAGUUAGCCGGCGCUUCUUCUGCAGGUACCGUCACUUUCGCUUCUUCCCUACUGAAAGAGGUUUACAACCCGAAGGCCGUCAUCCCGCACGCGGCGUCGCUGCAUCAGGCUUUCGCCCAUUGUGCAAUAUUCCCCA